UUUUUUUGAUAAAAAUGUAUGACUCUAUAACUUUUAGACCGUGAGGCCAAACUUGGCAUGUGAUACCUUUUCGGAACGCCCACAGAGAGCUCUCCAAUGAAUGAGGAAGGAAAAUGGAAUACUUCUAUUGGCUUUUUUUCUACUCCAAAUUUUGACCUUAAUGUACUUUUUCGGGCCUUUUCGUGAUCUUUCGUAUAUUACGGAGUGAAAAUUAUAUGUUUGGACAUUGUUUUCGAAUAUUUUCGAUGUAUCAAAGCUCUUAUAAACAAGAUAGGGUAUUCCUACAUAGCUGGUGGGACCCACGCCAAAUGGAUCAUAAAGUCUUCAAAAAAGAAUAUAUACGAUUGCGUUGCAU
rnacentral:rRNA from 1 species